AUAUGGUCGAGACCAAUUAAGAGUCGGUGAAGAUCUUAAGUUGUUCCACCCCGAGCUCUUUGGCGAUGCUAACGCUGGUGGUUAGUACCUCAUAUUCAGCUGCAUUAUUAGAGGCUUUGAAUUUGAACCAUAGUACAUAUUAGGUCACAACUCCAUCCGAACCGAUGGGAAUGAGUCUGACUCCACUGUUUUGAGAAUCUGAGGCUCUAUCAACAUAUAAGAUCCACUGGGAUCCAUUGACCUAUUCAUCGAAUGCUACUGGGGUUGAUUCCUCAUCGAGGAUAGUAUUUUCGAUGAUGAAGUCUAUCA
rnacentral:lncRNA from 1 species